rnacentral:rRNA from 1 species
GACGAACGCUGGCGGCGUGCUUAACACAUGCAAGUCGAACGGAAAGGCCCUGCUUUUGUGGGGUGCUCGAGUGGCGAACGGGUGAGUAACACGUGAGUAACCUGCCCUUGACUUUGGGAUAACUUCAGGAAACUGGGGCUAAUACCGGAUAGGAGCUCCUGCUGCAUGGUGGGGGUUGGAAAGUUUCGGCGGUUGGGGAUGGACUCGCGGCUUAUCAGCUUGUUGGUGGGGUAGUGGCUUACCAAGGCUUUGACGGGUAGCCGGCCUGAGAGGGUGACCGGCCACAUUGGGACUGAGAUACGGCCCAGACUCCUACGGGAGGCAGCAGUGGGAAAUAUUGCACAAUGGGCGGAAGCCUGAUGCAGCAACGCCGCGUGCGGGAUGACGGCCUUCGGGUUGUAAACCGCUUUCGCCUGUGACGAAGCGUGAGUGACGGUAAUGGGUAAAGAGGCACCGGCUAACUACGUG